rnacentral:lncRNA from 1 species
CUCCAGUGUGGUGGGAUGUCAUACAAGGCCAAUGGCUGAGUCCAGGUCACCAGUCUGCUGGGAUCCAGUGUCCAGGCUUCCCGGCACUCCAGGAUGGAACUAAGGAAUUGACUUUGCCAUGUACUUGGCCAGGUGCCCAUCUUAUUACAUUUUUUGCAUAUGAGCGGCAUAAUUUGUAUUUAUUUUCUCAAAGUACUAAUCAGACUUACGGUUAACAAGCAAAAGGAUUCCUCAUUUCCUACCUCAUUGACUCCAAUCUGGUAUCUAAAACACCCUGUAAUUUGGCUUCAUCUUAUCUGCUGUGAGUUGAGUUAUAUCCCCUCGGAAAUUCAGAUGCUGAGGUCCCAGCCCCCGCAUACCUCUGAGCGUAGCCAUGUUUGGAGACAGAGUCUUGAAAGAGGUCAUUAGAUUAAGAUGAGGUCAUGAGGGUGGGCUGAAUCCAGUGUGACCGGAUCCUUAUAAGCAGAACAACUGUGGCCACUGACAGGUACAGAGGGAAGACGAUGUGAAGACUCAGAGACAAGACAGCCACCUGCAAGCCAAAGAGAGGCCUGGGGACUGACCCCUUUUCCCUCAUGACCCUCAGGAGGAACCAAGCCCGCCAGCACCUUGAUCUCAGACUUCCAGCCUCUAGACUGAUAAAAUCAGCUCCUGCUGUUCCAGCUCCUGGGUCUGUGAUACGCUGUUGGGCAGCCCUGGCCGACUAAGACACUGUCGGUUCUCUCUCAUGUCCUGAGACUUCCUGCAGAAACUCCAACCACACCGGGCUGCCCUCCUCACCAUCCUUCAACGUGCUGGCUCCGUACCAACCUCUGGUCUUUCCCGUGCAUGGGGCCCUACGUCAUGCCCUGUCCCUGGAGUGCCUGUCCACCUCCUGCACGUAUUCCAGGGGUCAGCGAACUGCAGCCUGCCCUGUCUUUGUCAGCACAGUCCUCCUGGGACUGCCGUGCCCUGUGUGUGCUGUCUAUCACCGCUCUCACACCACAGCAGUGGAGGGGAGGAGUUUCGGUAGAGGCUCUGUGUGGCCUGCAAAGCCUUUGAUAUUGACUCUCUGGCCCUUUCUAGAAAAAGUUAGCUGACCCCUGAUCUAUCCAAAUUUCAUCCCUUCUCAGAGGCCCAGUUCGCAUCUGUGGCAGCUCCCAGGACCACCCUCCUGCCCACCGAGUCUCCUCUUCUGAGCUCCUGUGACUCCGGAGUCGGUGAGAAUUUUAAGUAAAAACCUGGAUCUGUGUUUUGGUUUCACCCUCUCCCUAGAAUAACACUUCAUAUCAUCAUGGGGUUUUAAGGGGACUCCUAGGUGCCGGACAGUUGAGAGUCUGUCCUCAGACCCACUCUCCUUCCCUCUCCCCAGGCCUGGUGCUCCAGGAAGCUGACCUUGCUUCCUGCUUGGGCCGGCCCAUGGGCAGCACUAGCAGGACGUCCGUGGGUGGACCCGAGGAGAGAGAGGUGGGGCGUUCGCUCCCCAACUGCAGCACACAGGGUUGGUGUAGACUGGCUGCUUCUUGCUGCCCAAGGCCACAUGUCUGCCCCAUGGCCCUCUCCACAUAGCUGCUCUCUGACUCUGAGGCUGCCCCUCACUUUGUUCCUCCAGCCUUUACCGGUAACAGAUCCACACAGCUGCUACCCUGGGGUACUGUACUUGCUGGCUUCCUUAAACCCUGCCUGCAUCUUUAUGAAACCCUCCUUAAGUCCUUAAACCCUGCCUGCAUCUUUAUGAAGCCCUCCUUAAGUCCUUAAACCCUGCCUGCAUCUUUAUGAAACCCUCCUUAAGUCCUUAAACCCUGCCUGCAUCUUUAUGAAGCCCUCCUUAAGUCCUUAAACCCUGCCUGCAUCUUUAUGAAACCCUCCUUAAGUCCUUAAACCCUGCCUGCAUCUUUAUGAAACCCUCCUUAAGUCCUUAAACCCUGCCUGCAUCUUUAUGAAGCCCUCCUUAAGUCCUUAAACCCUGCCUGCAUCUUUAUGAAGCCCUCCUUAAGUCCUUAAACCCUGCCUGCAUCUUUAUGAAACCCUCCUUAAGUCCUUAAACCCUGCCUGCAUCUUUAUGAAGCCCUCCUUAAGUCCUUAAACCCUGCCUGCAUCUUUAUGAAGCCCUCCUUAAGUCCUUAAACCCUGCCUGCAUCUUUAUGAAGCCCUCCUUAAGUCCUUAAACCCUGCCUGCAUCUUUAUGAAGCCCUCCUUAAGUCCUUAAACCCUGCCUGCAUCUUUAUGAAGCCCUCCUUAAGUCCUUAAACCCUGCCUGCAUCUUUAUGAAGCCCUCCUUAAGUCCUUAAACCCUGCCUGCAUCUUUAUGAAGCCCUCCUUAAGUCCUUAAACCCUGCCUGCAUCUUUAUGAAGCCCUCCUCAAGUCACCUAGUUUAAGAGUACCUACUGUUUCCAUGGGGACACUGACCGACAUACCCCUACGGCACAGGCAAGGUAGAUAUUAUUAUCCCCACUGACAAAAGAAAGUGUAGUCCCCAAAGGCUGAAGUUAGGUGCCCAAGGGGAGAGCUAGUAAAUGGCAGAGAAUGACAGGUCUUGAGUCCAGGCCUUUUUCAGCCCCAUCAGGCGACGUCGCUGAAAUGCACAUUUGCAGGCUGGACUGCUGCUGAGAGCUGGUGGUGCAGGGGCCUGUAGCAGGGUUGCUCCAGCCCCACCGCAGAAUAGACCUGAGCAACUGGGCUGUGUUACUUCCCAGGAAUUGAGGAACUGUGGCACGGCAUGUUUCAUCUGAUUUAAUUUUCUCUUUCAGAAAACAAUAACUUGGAAAGUUAUUCCUUAUGACUUUUCUACCGUUGGAUAGAUCAAGCACGUGGCCAUAUGUAUUGUCAAGUGGAUAGAUGAAGGAACUCUUCAUAUGUGUUUGCCCAGUUUGGAGUCUUAGGAGUCUCUAAUACUGUGAGUCCAGGAAAAACAACAAAGACAGUCCUCGCCUUGGCCUUGCCCUAAGUAGCUCCAAAGCUUUGGCAGGUCACAGUACAACUCUGGUCUCUUACAUGGAUAAAUUGAACCGGAGGGUGAACUGAGGAUCUCUUCUAAGGAAAAGAAAGGAAAGGAAUGGCAAAAGAGAAAAGAAGGUUGUAGAAUAAGAGGAAAGAGUGGAUGAGAGAAAAAGAGAAGAGAAAAAGAAACACAGUUCCCAGGCCACAGCAGCCUGCCUGGGUGGAAAGGUCACAGAGAAAGGUGCCAUCAGCUUCCAGAACCUUCUCAACAACUUCCUGCCAGCCCAGGCCCAGCUUGGCUUCCUCUGCAUAAGCAAUUAAAGCCUGGUUGAUUUUAAGCCAUCAGAAAAGCAGGUCAGAUUUCCUGCAAGGAGGAUCUACAGGGGCCCAGCACUACCUUGAAGGCCGUGAACAGCCACAGAGGGAAAGCCGCCUUGAGUAUGGAGCAAGACUUCCUCAGACAGGUCUCAUUUGUGUCUUCCCUUCCAGCAGGAGGAAGACAGCACCUGCCCAGAGUAGUUUUAGAGGGCACUGCACUAAAGAAGGAGAACUGCAGGGGAAGAUCGUGCCCUAAUGGAUGAAACAUUUCCCAAAUGGCCUGGCUAUCUGGAGAGAUGAGGACUUGCUCAUUAGUAGAAGUUUCCAGGCAAAGCCUGGAUAAGCAUUUGCUGCAGGGGUGGGGGAGGUGAAGGUUGAGAGGAGAUCUCUAAGAUUUCUUUGCCUUGGAAAAAAAAAUUAAGCUCUACAAGAAAGGAGUGGGUUGAUUGGAUGAAACAGUUAAGUUGUUGGUUGUAAGGGGACUCUCGGCACAGAGAGAGAGGGGCUUGAAGCCCACACGUAAUUCUCUCAUCUUCUGGAGGAGUCUUUCUCAGCAGGGACUUCACCAUGUCACAUCACUAUCACUCAGCACACGGGACCCUUGUCCUGGCUCCCAGGGCCCUUGGCAAUCCGCUUUCACUCUACCCAUCUAACUACACCUUCCCUUUCCAGCAUUCGCCCUCUGAUCCAUGCACUCAGUCCUACUCUCUGCCUCCAGAAUAUGCCACACACGGUUCCUCUUGCUUUGACACCACUGAUGGAGGGCUUAAUGCAUCCAGGGCGCUUGCUGGGAGCUGUGCGCCUGUGUCUGGGUCUUUGCCCUGCUGCCCCACUCUUGGAAUUCCAUCCCCACCACUCCCCCACAUGCACAAAAGCCUUCCUACCUACCCUCCAACUCCGACCAUCUCCAUGAAGCCUCCUUGACCUACGUGGCAUCCCAGAAUGGUCCUUUUCCCUGAGGCAUUUACUAUUUGUGCCAUGUAGCUUGGUGUGCUGACACAUAUGGUUCUUUGCUCGUUCAUUAGGAGAGUCCAGCAGUGUGGCUGUUCAAGCGCUCACAUGACAGCACCUCAUUUCAUGCUCCCAACAACCUGGGGAGACUACUGGGGAAGGCGUCUCCAGCCACAGGUGGAGAUGAGAAAACUGAGGCUGCCGAGAGCAGAACCGGGACAGGGACGCAGGCCUUCUCCAGCCUCUGCUCCCUGCUGCUUCCCCAGCCCUGGCGCUUUUGACAUGUGCUCCUGGGACAAGGAAGAGCGAGGCUGCCCUAGCCCCACCUGGCAGACUCCACCAGCCCUCGUAUCCUGACUCCCCUGUCCUUUCCUCUCCACCGAAGCUCCCAGAGAGCACACCUCUGCUGCACCAAGCAGCCUUCCCUGGGAGGGCAGAUGGGAAUGCCCCAGGGAGGGAACAUGGCUGGGGACUUCCACUGGAGGCAUCGGAAGCACCCUGGAAAGACUGGCUGGCACUGGGGCACACACCCCAAAUUCAGCUUUUGCUGUUUCUCCUUCACGCUCAGAGAGGGGUAUGAAUGAGCAUCUUGGGGCCAAGGGACGGGGUGUGUACUCCUUCACUCAUUCAAUGUUUGAUCCAUUAUUCUGGAGCCAUUUAUCCAGCCACCCACCCAUGAGCUCCUUCCUCCCUCCUGGGUUAUUUUGGGUAAGGGCCAAGAUGUGGAGACUGGUGAGCAGUGGUUUUCAUGCCCACAGCAGCUGGGGCAGCUCUAAGCCAAGCACAUUGAAGGAGAAACCGACCCCAAACCAAAAGUGCAAAAAGAACAGACGGGGAUGAACGCCUGCCUCUGUCACUCUCAUUAUUCCACUGAACAGCCUCUCCCUCCAGAUCCUUCCUCUCAAGGCUGAGUCUGAAUCAAAGGCCUUCUUCACCCUUCAUCCCUCCUCCCUCUUUGCCCGAAUCUUAGAACUAUUCUGUAAUUUCUCAGGAGAGCUGGGCUUGUUGGGGACGCUGAUUGUUCUUCCUUCAGAAGAGAGAAAUGGUUUUUGAAAUCCAGAGAACAGGGACCACUGUCUUCAACAAGCAAAAGGCCUGGGGGCAUGACAGGAAGUGGGAAUGUUAAUGAUCCUGAAAUCGACUUGAAAUGUGAGGCCUGACCUUGGGCUCACCUGGGCCCGACUGCCUGGGGUACACUGCUACCUCUCCGUGACCUGUCUCCUUCUGAGUCUUAAAUUCUAGGAGGAUUCAUGCUGCAGGCUCAGUGGCCCAGGAAACCUGGAAGGAAGGAAAGGACACAGAGGUUCUGAUUUGGGGAUGGAGUCCUGGUCCUGGUGGAUGGAACACAGGAAGGCUCUUGGGGCUCUCUGCAGCGCCAUGUAGAAGUGAACAUGCUACUCUAUCACUCCAGUCUACCUUCACCGGAGACCAUUCAUUCAUGGGCUGUGUUUAGAGACUCUUGUGCAAACACGUUUCUUGCCCAUCAUUUCCUUUGAGGAGGGAUGACUCUGGAUGGCACCACAUGUGUGGGCCCUGCUGGUGAAUCAAACUGGGUGCAGGAGGAGGAGAGUUUAUGGCCUUAUCAGUAAAGUGCAAGUUUCGGCUCAAAGCCAGGUGUUUGGAAAUGAAUACAACUUCCUGUUCUGUUGUGGAAGGCCCUUGCCCUGUUCCCAUGAUGCUACCUUUGAGCAUGUCCUGUGAUUUUUCCAGAGACAGUGUUGAAACCUGCUCAUAUCUCUAAAAGAAACGGAAUCCGGGAGCACUGUCAGCUGGGAGGUGGUCACUCCAGUGUGAUGUGACAAGGCCCUGGAAUAGCAGCACAGACACUUGUCUUUGGGCCAACAGCCCCCACAUGGGGUAGGGUGUGGUUCGGGGGAUGCAUGAUUAAGCCCAGGGAAUGAGGACAGACUCAGGGACCUGGAGCCCCCUUUAUGCCCCAGGGUUUUAGAAUUCCGUAAUUUUUGGAUGGCGAUGGAGCUAACCACAUGGCUAAAUAAGGAAUCCAGCACCUGGUACCAGGAUAUAGAAAGAAAGUAAGACAUAAAUGAGCCAGCCCUUCUCUCCCCAGCUGCCCCUCUUCUCCUGACCCUCACCCCAGCCUAACGCUGCCAAUUGCCUUCUAUUUUGAAGAAUUCCAUCUAUCUCCCCAACAGACCACCCUUUUCAUUAGGCAACUCUUUGAGCAGAUUCUCUGUUGUUUCUGGCAAGGCUUCAGUUCUGUCCCUCUAGCAGUGUGGCAUCGACACAAAGUGAUCACGGUGAUUAACAGUUCAGUACUUACAGCAGGUAUCAUAGUUAUUUAAGAGGACAAAGUCUCUCCUAUUAUAUGAGGGUAGAAAUCUCUUCUGGAAACACUGCAGCUGUCACCAGAGGCAUGAGUAUUUCCAUUUGGUGAAGUAAUCCUGAAGGAUGGAGCCAUCAAAGCCUAUGUUUGGGGUUGUUACUCGACUUUUUCCCCAGGAGGCAUUUAAUCAUGCAGGCAAGGAUUUAAUAGGCUGAGUUGCUUGGAAUUCUCCAUGUGGCACCUUUUAGGGUAAGGGGACUGCUUGUGGGUGUGUUUAUGGUCAUGGGUAUUAAACAGGCCUUGGAAUGCCAAGGGGCAGAGGGUCAUGGCAGGGAUCCCACCAAGGAGCAGGCAGGACAAACCAACUCCCAGGAAGAGCCCCUCAGAGGGGCAUGGCACUGCACAACCUCCUCCAUCAUUCCUGAGGCUGAAAAGCACAAGGUGUUUAUCCUGGAGCCUCCAGGAUAGGUGUUCAGGGCCUGCCAGCCCUUAGGACCCUAUCCCAGUGGAUGCAGGCUCUUUCCAAUCCUUCCCCGCCUGUCCACUCCCACUCAGGCCUUAUCAGCCUCUGACUGACCCCCACUCCGCCUCCAGCUUCUCUCUCCUUCCAGCCCAUUGUCCACACUCGGCUGCACAGUGACCUUUCGAUGGUAAACUGGUACCUUGUCAUCCCUCUGCUUAAAUCUCUUCGGUGGCUCCUCCUUAACCACAGGAUAGAGUCCCACUCCGAGGCCCUUUGGGACCAGGUCCCAGUCUUUCUGUCCUGAUCUUUCUUUUUGGCUUCUCCCCUGUGCACCCUGAACUCAAAUCACCAUGAAACAUGUGCAAUUCCAUUUCCUUUCCUUCUUUUAAAAAUUAUUUUGCUUCUACAACUUUGCAAAUGUAGCCCCCUCAGCUUAGAAGGUCCGGUUGCGAUCUUUUGGCCGUGUGACCUGCUGCCAAACUGCAGCAGGAACACUGUCCUGUGCCCACCCAGCCCCAGUCCUUCUGCCCCCGAGCACUUAGUUAGCUGCUCUUCGCCAGUCCCCUGGAAGUCAGGCGGAAGUGGGAGCUGUGUUCCGGCCGAUGGUGUGUCGCGAGCAAUGCCCACACUCCCAGGCCUGGCUGCUGAAGCCUCCAGCAGGCCCUCUGCUCCCUCUUCUGCUGGCCCGAUGCAGAGCAGACAGGGGAGACUGUGAGGCCCCGGGGGUGGCAAAGCCACAAAAGGGGUGCAGCCUUGGGGCCUGAAGACCGGUGUGGUGGAACUCUCCUCCCUCCCAUCCCCAGCUCACACUCCACCGUGGGGUGAAAAGUAACCUUUACUGUAC